rnacentral:tRNA from 1 species
UGGCUCAGUGGUAGAGCAUGGUGUUUGCAAUGCCAGGCUUGUGGGUUCGAUUCCUGU